rnacentral:rRNA from 1 species
AGAGUUGAUCCUGGCUAGGACGAACGCUGGCGGCGUGCCUAACACAUGCAAGUCGAGCGAGGAGAGUUCCUUCGGGAUGAUCCUAGCGGCGGACGGGUGAGUAACACGUGGGCAACCUGCCUCAUAGAGAGGAAUAGCCUUCCGAAAGGGAGAUUAAUACCUCAUAACAUUGCAGUUUCGCAUGAAACAGCAAUUAAAGGAGCAAUCCGCUAUGAGAUGGGCCCGCGGCGCAUUAGCUAGUUGGUGAGGUAACGGCUCACCAAGGCGACGAUGCGUAGCCGACCUGAGAGGGUGAUCGGCCACAUUGGGACUGAGACACGGCCCAGACUCCUACGGGAGGCAGCAGUGGGGAAUAUUGCACAAUGGGGGAAACCCUGAUGCCAGCAACGCCGCGUGAGUGAUGACGGCCUUCGGGUUGUAAAGCUCUGUCUUCAGGGACGAUAAUGACGGUACCUGAGGAGGAAGCCACGGCUAACUACGUGCCAGCCGCCGC